rnacentral:rRNA from 1 species
AGAGCGAACGCUGGCGGCAGGCCUAACACAUGCAAGUCGAGCGCCCCGCAAGGGGAGCGGCAGACGGGAGAGUAACACGUGGGAACGUACCCUUGGUUCGGAACAACACAGGGAAACUUGUGCUAAUACCGGAUAAGCCCUUACGAGGAAAGAUUUAUCGCCAAAGGAUCGGCCCGCGUCUGAUUAGCUUGUUGGUGAGGUAACGGCUCACCAAGGCUACGAUCAGUAGCUGGUCUGAGAGGAUGAUCAGCCUCACUGGGACUGAGACACGGCCCAGACUCCUACGGGAGGCAGCAGUGGGGAAUAUUGGACAAUGGGCGCAAGCCUGAUCCAGCCAUGCCGCGUGGAUGAUGAAGGCCCUAGGGUUGUAAAGUCCUUUCGACGGGGAAGAUAAUGACGGUACCCGUAGAAGAAGCCCCGGCUAACUUCGUGCCAGCAGCCGC